GGGCCCGCACAAGCGGUGGAGCAUGUGGUUUAAUUCGAUGAUACGCGAGGAACCUUACCAGGGCUUAAAUGUAGAGUGACAGGCUGAGAGAUCGGCUUUUCUUCGGACACUUUACAAGGUGCUGCAUGGUUGUCGUCAGCUCGUGCCGUGAGGUGUCAGGUUAAGUCCUAUAACGAGCGCAACCCCUACUGCUAGUUGCUAACAGGUUAAGCUGAGGACUCUAGUGGGACUGCCGGUGCAAACCGCGAGGAAGGUGGGGGAUGACGUCAAAUCAUCACGGCCCUUACGUCCUGGGCUACACACGUGCUACAAUGGUAGGGACAAUGAGCAGCCACUGCGCGAGCAG
rnacentral:rRNA from 1 species